UGGGUCGAUGCUGACCACUGGUGGCAUAAGUCAGAGGCAGUGACUGAGUCUGGAACUCUGAGGUCCAG
rnacentral:snoRNA from 1 species